UACGUAGGGUCCGAGCGUUGUCCGGAAUUAUUGGGCGUAAAGAGCUCGUAGGCGGUUUGUCGCGUCUGCUGUGAAAUCCCGAGGCUCAACCUCGGUCUGCAGUGGGUACGGGCAGACUGGAGUGCGGUAGGGGAGAAUGGAAUUCCGUGGUGUAGCGGUGGAAUGCGCAGAUAUCAGGAGGAACACCGAUGGCGAAGGCAGU
rnacentral:rRNA from 1 species